rnacentral:rRNA from 1 species
AGAGUUUGAUCAUGGCUCAGAUUGAACGCUGGCGGCAUGCCUUACACAUGCAAGUCGAACGGCAGCGCGGGAGCAAUCCUGGCGGCGAGUGGCGAACGGGUGAGUAAUACAUCGGAACGUGCCCAAUCGUGGGGGAUAACGCAGCGAAAGCUGUGCUAAUACCGCAUACGAUCUACGGAUGAAAGCAGGGGAUCGCAAGACCUUGCGCGAAUGGAGCGGCCGAUGGCAGAUUAGGUAGUUGGUGAGGUAAAGGCUCACCAAGCCUUCGAUCUGUAGCUGGUCUGAGAGGACGACCAGCCACACUGGGACUGAGACACGGCCCAGACUCCUACGGGAGGCAGCAGUGGGGAAUUUUGGACAAUGGGCGAAAGCCUGAUCCAGCCAUGCCGCGUGCAGGAUGAAGGCCUUCGGGUUGUAAACUGCUUUUGUACGGAACGAAACGGCCUUUUCUAAUAAAGAGGGCUAAUGACGGUACCGUAAGAAUAAGCACCGGCUAACUACGUGCCAGCAGCCGCGGUAAUACGUAGGGUGCAAGCGUUAAUCGGAAUUACUGGGCGUAAAGCGUGCGCAGGCGGUUAUGUAAGACAGUUGUGAAAUCCCCGGGCUCAACCUGGGAACUGCAUCUGUGACUGCAUAGCUAGAGUACGGUAGAGGGGGAUGGAAUUCCGCGUAGCAGUGAAAUGCGUAGAUAUGCGGAGGAACACCGAUGGCGAAGGCAAUCCCCUGGACCUGUACUGACGCUCAUGCACGAAAGCGUGGGGAGCAAACAGGAUUAGAUACCCUAGUAGUCC